rnacentral:piRNA from 1 species
UGAGAAGUAGGUGAAGAUUCAUUGGU